rnacentral:rRNA from 1 species
CGCCUGGGGAGUACGGCCGCAAGGUUAGAACUCAAAUGAAUUGACGGGGGCCCGCACAAGCGGUGGAGCAUGUGGUUUAAUUCGACGCAACGCGAAGAACCUUACCUGGCCUUGACAUGCAGAGAACUUUCCAGAGAUGGAUUGGUGCCUUCGGGAACUCUGACACAGGUGCUGCAUGGCCGUCGUCAGCUCGUGUCGUGAGAUGUUGGGUUAAGUCCCGUAACGAGCGCAACCCCUAUCCCUAGUUGCUAGCAGUUCGGCUGAGAACUCUAGGGUGACUGCCGGUGACAAACCGGAGGAAGGUGGGGAUGACGUCAGGUCAUCAUGGCCCUUACGGCCAGGGCUACACACGUGCUACAAUGGUGCGCACAGAGGGCUGCAAACCCGCGAGGGGGAGCCAAUCUCACAAAACGCAUCGUAGUCCGGAUCGCAGUCUGCAACUCGACUGCGUGAAGUCGGAAUCGCUAGUAAUCGUGAAUCAGAAUGUCACGGUGAAUACGUUCCCGGGCCUUGUACACACCGCCCGUCACACCAUGGGAGUGGAUUGCACCAGAAGUG